rnacentral:misc_RNA from 1 species
GAGUUUGUAACACCCGAAGUCGGUGAGGUAACCUUUAUGGAGCCAGCCGCCGAAGGUGGGACAGAUGAUUGGGGUGAAGUCGUAACAAGGUAGCCGUAUCGGAAGGUGCGGCUGGAUCACCUCCUUUCUAAGGAUAUUUAACGGAAUAUAAGACCUUGGGUCUUAUAAACAGUACGUUCCCUGUCUUGUUUAGUUUUGAAGGAACUUUGUUCCUUUUAUAUGGAAGAUGGGCCUGUAGCUCAGCUGGUUAGAGCGCACGCCUGAUAAGCGUGAGGUCGGUGGUUCGAGUCCACUCAGGCCCACCAUCUUAUUCGAAUGGGGCCUUACCUCAGCUGGGAGAGCGC